rnacentral:rRNA from 1 species
GACGAACGCUGGCGGCGUGCUUAACACAUGCAAGUCGUACGGUAAGGCCCUUUCGGGGGUCCACGAGUGGCGCACGGGUGCGUAACACGUGAGUAACCUGCCCACAACUUUGGGAUAACGCUAGGAAACUGGUGCUAAUACUGGAUAUGUGCUCCUGCUGCAUGGUGGGGGUUGGAAAGCUCCGGCGGUUGUGGAUGGACUCGCGGCCUAUCAGCUUGUUGGUGGGGUAGUGGCCUACCAAGGCGGCGACGGGUAGCCGGCCUGAGAGGGUGACCGGCCACAUUGGGACUGAGAGACGGCCCAGACGCCUACGGGAGGCAGCAGUGGGGAAUAUUGCACAAGGGGCGCAAGCCGGAUGCAGCAACGCCGCGGGCGGGAUGACGGCCUUCGGGUUGUAAACCGCUUUCAGCAGGGACGAAGCUUUUUGUGACGGUACCUGCAGAAGAAGCACCGGCUAACUACGUG